GACGAACGCUGGCGGCGUGCUUAACACAUGCAAGUCGAACGGAAAGGCCCUGCUUUUGUGGGGUGCUCGAGUGGCGAACGGGUGAGUAACACGUGAGUAACCUGCCCUUGACUUUGGGAUAACUUCAGGAAACUGGGGCUACUACCGGAUAGGAGCUCCUGCUGCAUGGUGGGGGUUGGAAAGUUUCGGCGGUCGGGGAUGGACUCGCGGCUUAUCAGCUUGUUGGUGGGGUAGUGGCUUACCAAGGCUUUGACGGGUAGCCGGCCUGAGAGGGUGACCGGCCACAUUGGGACUGAGAUACGGCCCAGACGCCUACGGGAGGCAGCAGUGGGGAAUAUUGCACAAUGGGCGGAAGCCUGAGGCAGCAACGCCGCGUGCGGGAUGACGGCCUUCGGGUUGUAAACCGCUUUCGCCUGUGACGAAGCGUGAGUGACGGUAAUGGGUAAAGAAGCACCGGCUAACUACGUG
rnacentral:rRNA from 1 species